UCCUAAAAAGAAAGAGAGAGAAGCAAAGCACAGAAUGUGUGGCAGCAACAAAAUAGAUUGAAAGGAAAUGCAGUUCCCUUACCUCCAAAUUAUAAUUUGGAAUUAAUAAGAACAGGAAUGGAAGGGGGACAAGAAGAAGUGAGUUUGGCUUUGCUCAGAAGAGGUUGUCUCUUACAGCUUCGUAGCUAUCGCAUAUGUGUUCUAACAGUUUUUAAGCAACACCUAUGCAUUGUGUAAAUCUACAUGGGGAAUUAGUCCAUCUACAUCUCCUCAUAUGAUGAGGGGGAGAAAAAAAUCCAUCCUUGGGCUCUGCUUGCACCGCUUUAGAAAUCCCAGUACCCUACAGUGGCAAAACAUCCUGCAGCAUACAGCCUGUCCCUUGCAGAAGUGCAGGGAAACUGCCCAUGACAAGUGAAACCAGCAGGCAAUCCGCUCCAGCUCCUGGCGACGUGUCCUGCACUAUCAGAUAUCAUAUGACUCUUUAUUUGGACUCCCGUUAGCAGUAUGGGCCUGUUAGGAGGCUGUUUGUUUUCUUUUCCUUUCAUUUCCUUCUCCUUAGUUCCCCCCUAUUUUAUGUGUGCCCGUGUGAGCGUAUCCCCUUUAUAAUCUCUUUUCUUGUGCUGAAGCUUUAUAGAAAAGAAAAAAGAAAAAAAAAAA